UUGCCUGCCUUAAUCCCCUUCUAUCCACCAUUUAGACACUUUCCUUCAACAUGGAAGAUUGGGUUUUCCGU
ensembl:ncRNA C41C4.19 ncRNA